CCUGGAUGAUGCACUUGCACGGAGAGGCCAUGUGAGGACUCAGUGAAAAGGUGGCCAUCUGCAAGCCAGGGAGAGGGACCUCAGGAGAAACCAAACCUGCCAACACCUUGAGCUUAGACUUUCAGCCUCCAGAACUGUGGGAAAAUGCAUUUAUGCUGUUGAAGCCUACAGUCUAUGGUACUCGGUUAUGGCAGCCCUAGCAAAUUAAUAGAGAAGGAGAAAUUUCAUUGAAGCUUGGAUAUUGGAAGGGUAGACUGCUAUGCAAGGAGCACUCCUUCAUCCAAGAAAUGAUGAUCCUCUAUUUUUUCUGCUUAGGAAAUGGUAUCUUCCUCCACCUACAUACUGACCAGAAGCCUGGAAUACAGCCUCAUCUCUUUCACUUUCCUCACUCAGAUGGCUACUCUUGCAUUUCAUCAGGACUCUGCUUGCAAGAAUCGCAAGGCAGAUCAAGCCCCAUAGCCUAAGGGAUCCAAGGCUACAGGAUGGAGAAUAUCCCAGGUCAGACCAGGGAUGGUGAUAGAAAGACCCCCUAGAAAAGGGAAGCCAUCUUGAAGGUAGCACUGGAGAAUGGAAAAUUAAGGCCUGCCUUGGACCUGAGCAGUGAAUGAAGAAAGCAAGAAAAGAUCCAUGAGGCAUUCCCAACUCCCUCCCCAAAGUAAACUCUGUCCAGUCCGCACCUGAAGUAAAGACCCAUUCUCUGUAGCCUUUGGUGCUCAACAUAUGAAGGGUACACUCCUUUUUGUUGGAGAGGGGAGGUGAACAUGAGAUGUACCAUUCUAACUUCUUAGUGUGAAGCAUACAGAAAAGGCAUGAUGAAUUUUUGAAAAGUCAAGCUUCCUAGCAAAGCUUUUCAUUUCACUGUCUUAAUCUGCCUCUGAAUACUCGUUUUCUGCCACCUACUACUUGAGACUUUAUGAACUGUCAACAACGUCUAAACUUCACUGUUGAAACACCACACCAUGAUCCGUGCUUUUGCUGUAUGCUCCUUUGCAUAAAAUAUUCUGUGUUUCUACACUCUGCUUUGGACUUCUAAACCCUCCUAAUUUUUUUGAGACUCAGCUGACUUCUACAGAAAUAUUUAUCUCAUGUUUUCCUCAAGAUGAGUUUGGUGCUCUACAAUAUUCAUGUUUCAGAAAAUACAAGUAUUGUAAUAUAUCAUCAUUGCAAGCAGAUAUAUUUAUCCCAUUCACUAAGUUGCUAGUUGCUUGUAUGACUGUAUCCUGUUAAUCUUUCAGGUGGCUUGUUUGGCACAUAGUGGAUAUUCA
rnacentral:lncRNA from 1 species